rnacentral:rRNA from 1 species
UACGUAGGGUGCGAGCGUUGUCCGGAAUUAUUGGGCGUAAAGAGCUCGUAGGCGGCCUGUCGCGUCGGAUGUGAAAGCCCGGGGCUUAACCCCGGGUCUGCAUUCGAUACGGGCAGGCUAGAGUGUGGUAGGGGAGAUCGGAAUUCCUGGUGUAGCGGUGAAAUGCGCAGAUAUCAGGAGGAACACCGGUGGCGAAGGCGGUUCUCUGGGCAUGUCCUGACGCUGAGGAGCGAAAGUGUGGGGAGCGAACAGG